rnacentral:lncRNA from 1 species
ACCUCUACCUCUACCUCCUCUACCUCUACCUCUACCACUACCUCUACCUCCUCUACCUCUACCACUACCUCCUCUACCUCCUCUACCUCUACCUCUACCACUACCUCUACCUCUACCUCUACCUCUACCUCCUCUACCUCUACCUCUUCCUCUACCUCCUCUUAUGCCCUUACAUGUAACAAGCAGAAUCAUAUUUUACAAUACAGUUCAACAACAUGUUUGGAAGUAUUAGGAAAUGAAUGAGUAUAAAUAAAAGUUCUAAGUAAUUAUUAUAUAUUUUGAAGUAUCUUAUAUGAUUUGUGGCAAUGAGAGCGUUAUGAAAAAAACUGGACAUGAAGCUCAGUUAUAAAGUACACAGUACAGGGAGUUUUGGUACAACAAACCAAAAAAUCCCAAAUGUAAUCCAAAUUCAACAUGUAUCAAGGAAAAGUAGCUUCAGGAUUUGGAGAACUACUGAACAUAUUCAACAUGUGGCGCAACGAUCGAAACCGCUAGGCUACCUGCCGCCCACGAUGUCUGAACGUUCAAUAUUACCUGGCACCACAGGCGAGUCAAAUACACAAUACUUUGUAGUAAAAAAAAAACUGUAAUAAAUACAAAACAGAUGAAAAAAAACCACUAAUAAAGACGUAUAAAUAUGGACUGAAAGCCUCAAUUGUAUCGAAAUACCGUAAAUAUACUUUGGCAAAAGCAGUAACAGAAAAAUCACAGUUUCUGGACCCAGAAGCGCAACAUCAGAGACUUCCGGGAACGCUUGUGAAACAGACCAAGAGGACCAGGCCAGGGUUUGGGGGUUUGACAAGUCAAUGAGAGAAGUGAAGAAUUCUUCCUUAGUUGUUAAUUUUCUCCUAAUCUAAAGGCACAACCUAGAUUGGAGCCAAUGUCUUAAAUACUCUCUAUAUACAAAAGUAUGUGGACACCCCUUCAAAUGAGUGGAUUUGGCUAUUUCAGCCACACCUGUUGCUGACAGGUGUAUACAAUCGAGCACACAGACAUGCAAUCUCCAUAGACAAACAUUGGCAGUAGAAUGGCCUUACUGAAGCGCUUAGUGACCUUCAACGUGGCACCAUCAUAGGAUGCCACCUUUCCAACAAGUCAGUUCAUCAAAUUUCUGCCCUGCUAGAGCUGCCCUGCUAGAGCUGCCCUGCUAGAGCUCCCUGCCCGGUCAACUGUAAGUACUGUUAUUAUGAAGUGGAAACGUCUAGGAGUAACAAUGGCUCAGGCGCGAAGUAGAAGCCCAAGGUCACAGAACAGGACUGGGAGUGGAGACAUGUUGGCUGGAGGGGGUUGGGGGGAUGGGAGAGUGGGAGUGGAGACAGGUUGGCUGCAGGGGGUUGGGGGGAUGGGAGAGUGGGAGUGGAGACAGGUUGGCUGGAGGGGGUUGGGGGGAUGGGAGAGUGGGAGUGGAGACAGGUUGGCUGGAGGGGGUUGGGGGAUGGGAGAGUGGGAGUGGAGACAGGUUGGCUGGAGGGGGUUGGGGGGAUGGGAGUGGAGACAGGUUGGCUGGAGGGGGUUGGGGGGGAUGGGAGGUUGGGAGUGGAGACAGGUUGGAUGGAGGGGGUUGGGACCUGAUGACGUGUUCUGCACAUGGGCAGUUCAGGACGAGACAACCGUUAGACCUGAUGAUGUGUUCUGCACAUGGGCAGUUCAGGAUGACCGUUAGACCUGAUGACGUGUUCUGCACAUGGGUAGUUCAGAGCGACCGUUAGACCUGAUGACGUGUUCUGCACAUGGGCAGUUCAGGACGACCGUUAGACCUGAUGACGUGUUCUGCACAUGGGCAGUUCAGAGCGACCGUUAGACCUGAUGACGUGUUCUGCACAUGGGCAGUUCAGGAUGACCGUUAGACCUGAUGAUGUGUUCUGCACAUGGGCAGUUCAGGACAACCGUUAGACCUGAUGACGUGUUCUGCACAUGGGC